rnacentral:rRNA from 1 species
CCUACGGGUGGCAGCAGUGGGGGAUAUUGGACAAUGGGGGGAACCCUGAUCCAGCGACGCCGCGUGAGUGAAGAAGUAUUUCGGUAUGUAAAGCUCUGUCAGCAGGGAAGAAAGAAAUGACGGUACCUGACCAAGAAGCCCCGGCUAACUACGUGCCAGCAGCCGCGGUAAUACGUAGGGGGCAAGCGUUAUCCGGAAUUACUGGGUGUAAAGGGAGCGUAGACGGUUAAGUAAGUCUGGAGUGAAAGGCCGGGGCCCAACCCCGGGACUGCUCUGGAAACUAUUGAACUUGAGUGCAGGAGAGGUAAGCGGAAUUCCUAGUGUAGCGGUGAAAUGCGUAGAUAUUAGGAGGAACAUCGGUGGCGAAAGCGCUUUACUGGACCAUUAUUGACGCUGAGGAACGAAAGCCAGGGGAGCAAAUGGGAUUAGAUACCCCGGUAGUC